AUUAGGACUCAACACCUAUUAAAUCAAUCAGCACAUAACCUUGUCCUGCCCUCGAGCAACUUACAUUCUACUGAAACAAGAUGACUAUCAUGCACCUUUAUCUUUUUAAUAUCCUUUUGCCCUUUAUUUCUGGGAAACAAAACCUCAAGACUUCCCAUCCAGGGAUCCUGAGGAGGUUUGGCUUGUUAUACACUUAAAUUCAUUUCCAAGCCAGUGAGAAGAUUCCUUGGAGUUACUACCUGAGCAAUAAUAACACAUGUGAAGAGACUCCUUUAAAAACAGAGUUAACUACUAAAAAUAACAGCAGAGCUGAACAAUGCGUGGCUGACGGUGGUAGCCGAGUGGUCUGCAGUCUGUCUCUGGAGGCUAAGGAGAGGACGAGUGACCCAGGACAAGGGUUUGCCAUCCGUUAAUCACAGGACUUAAAACUACAAUUCAAUUCCACGAGAGACCAUAUACCUGACGGCAGAGAAGAGAAGAGAAUAACCCUUUAACUUCUCAGGAUCAUAAUUCAGCUCCCUUGUAGGAAAGAUCACAACAGGUCUGGGCCUGGAGAGGAAUACUGAUUACCUCUACGUGCGUUUCCAUGGGCAAGGCUGUGUAUUGAGCCUGUUGCGAAGUUUCAAGUAAAUUUAUUUCUACCGGCAGCUGUAAUGGAUCAUUGGUCAUGGACUAUUUCUGGACUUGGUGCAAUGGGAGAAAAUAAUUCCAACUUAUCUGUGCAGAAGUCCUUAAAAGAUUUCCAAUCUUGCAAAAGUAGAUGGAUACCCACCUAAGCAACCCACACUCUCCCGUCAAAGGCACCGGUGGCCCAGAGGUCCUGGGUUAUUUUCUUACGGUUUUCCUCUCCACCCAGAAAUCCAUAUUCAGCUGGACAGCCAGGUGAGUGUUUCCCAAGCUUCUGUAAUGGGGACAGUGGUUACCAUGAGAAAAGAACUCUGUAUACUUCUCUGCAUCUCCUUUCCCCCUUCUUUCUUCCCUCUCUCACCUGUUUUUGGGGUCCCUUUCCUAAUGCUCCAUUUCCCACUGCUGUGAAUCCUGUCACCUUAGCUCACAGCUUCUGUUCCACAGGCUGCUCCCAUGGUCUAUGAACCACUACCUGGCAUUUCCCUUGCCUAAACUGCCCUAUUCCUUUCAGGUAAAUAUGCUUCUCCUGUGUGAUCUGGGGGUUUUUCACACAUGUGGGUUGGAUCACUCUCUUUCCAAAGUCGUUCUGCACCUUGCACAGCUCUGUUCUAAGAGGAUCCCACUCAGGCCCUAGGGCACGCCCUCCUUUGACCAACUUGCUCCAAGUGUGUUAUCUUUCUUCCAGUCUUUCUUGCCUCGUAGAAUUUUUUCAAAUCUCUGCAGAGCUUUCUUCAGACCCUUUCUAUUGUUUCCCUUCCUCCCAACCUUGCCUUCAUCCUUGGGCUCUAUUGGAUUUCCUCCUCUCUAAUGCUGCACAGGGGAGAGCUGGAUUCAGCUUUACUCCCUCAACUCAGGUCGUGUAAGAAGAGCCUUGAUCCUCUGCUUUACCUUGUAGUGGAGUUUGGGCAAUAUCAGCAUCAGCCUCCACAGUACCCAGAUCAGUGGGUCUAUUUUCCAAAGGGUCUUGGUAGCUAUCUCUGUAAUUUUAUCAGUUCAUUGAGACAUUGGUCUGUCCCAUCUGGGAAAUAGAAGGUUUCAGUGAACUGGGCGGUAGUAGUAUAUUCUCAAAGAAUGUCAUAGAGAUCU